UGGGAAAAGUGCCCCCAAAAGGCAAAGGUC
rnacentral:piRNA from 1 species